rnacentral:tRNA from 1 species
UUGCUGUUGCCCGCCUGCAUGAAGCCUUGACUGAGGCGAUGCAACUCAGUGAUGAAUUGACAUAAAAAAACAU